CUACGGGUGGCACCAGUGGGGAAUAUUGCACAAUGGAGGAAACUCUGAUGCAGCAACGCCGCGUGGAGGAUGACACUUUUCGGAGCGUAAACUCCUUUUAUAUAGGAAGAUAAUGACGGUACUAUAUGAAUAAGCACCGGCUAACUCCGUGCCAGCAGCCGCGGUAAUACGGAGGGUGCAAGCGUUACUCGGAAUCACUGGGCGUAAAGAGCGUGUAGGCGGGUUAAUAAGUCAGAAGUGAAAUCCUAUGGCUCAACCAUAGAACUGCUUUUGAAACUGUUAACCUAGAAUAUGGGAGAGGUAGAUGGAAUUUCUGGUGUAGGGGUAAAAUCCGUAGAGAUCAGAAGGAAUACCGAUUGCGAAGGCGAUCUACUGGAACAUUAUUGACGCUGAGACGCGAAAGCGUGGGGAGCAAACAGGAUUAGAUACCCGCGUAGUC
rnacentral:rRNA from 1 species